rnacentral:lncRNA from 1 species
UUUCCCUUCCCGUGGACAAUUUUCUUCGAAAAAGUGCCCAUCUCCUCGAAUAUUAGACUCUCCACCACCACCGCCUCCGGCGAACCAACCCCAAACCAAGCCAAAACUACACCCCUAAACCACCUCCCCUCACUCUUUCCAACCUUCCAAACCAUGUCAUUCAAAUCCAAACGAAUCAGCUCGAAUAUUGAAGCAAAGACAACACUAAAUCCCGAAACUCACCGGAACCAGGUCAAAUUGGUCUCAGAUGACCCUCUCCCAUUCCUAUUCCCAACCCUACCAACCACGACCCUCAAACCCAACUGACUACAAAGGAAAACCAAAUCUGAGACCUUACUUGGUCUCAGAAUCAAUGAACCCCAUUCUGAACCCUUUUCCCUCUUCAAUACACAGGGCGAAAGCCUUAAAAGAGCAAAAUACCUCUCAAAAGGGGUCGGAGAGUCGUUGGAACUAGAAGAGUUCCAAGUCAAGAACUGCAUGCACAAAAGCUAAGGGUUUUAUGCCCUAAUUAUUGUCGAUGCUUGUCCAUAUUUCUUGUCUUUAAAAUUUUACUUGUUUUCUACGGUCUCAUCCUGUAGUGUGUUGAGUUGUCAUAUUUUUUUGCUAUAUUCUUUUUGUUCCCUUGGGUGUCACUAGUUUGAGUACAUUUGUCUUCUAUAAUCUUCUGGGUAGCAUGAUAUCAUGCUCAUACUUGCCUCUUGACUCUUUACUUGUUUCACCUCUAAAAUUCUGAAUGGUUUGUUGAUCCUUGUCUCUUGACUCUUCACUUGUUUAACCUUUAAAAUUCUAAAUGGUUUGUUGACCCUUGUCUCUUGACUCUUCA